GGCGCAGGGUGUCGGUUCAAAGCCCGGCCGCGAAGCGGGAGGCCCGGGUUCGAGUCCCGGCUACGUCG